UACGGAGGGGUUAGCGUUGUUCGGAAUACUGGCGUAAAGCGCGCGUAGGCGGAUUAGUCAGUUAGAGGUGAAAUCCCAGGGCUCAACCCUGGAACUGCCUUUAAUACUGCUAGUCUUGAGUUCGAGAGAGGUGAGUGGAAUUCCGAGUGUAGAGGUGAAAUUCGUAGAUAUUCGGAGGAACACCAUGGCGAAGGCGGCUCACUGGCUCGAUACUGACGCUGAGGUGCGAAAGUGUGGGGAGCAAACAGGAUUAGAUACCCG
rnacentral:rRNA from 1 species